rnacentral:rRNA from 1 species
AGGACGAACGCUGGCGGCGUGCUUAACACAUGCAAGUCGAGCGGAAAGGCCUUUCGGGGUACUCGAGCGGCGAACGGGUGAGUAACACGUGAGUAAUCUGCCCAUCGCUUCAGGAUAGCCAUCGGAAACGGUGAUUAAUACUGGAUAUGACAUUCCUUCGCAUGUUGGGGUGUGGAAAGUUUUUCGGCGGUGGAUGUGCUCGCGGCCUAUCAGCUUGUUGGUGGGGUAAUGGCCUACCAAGGCUUUGACGGGUAGCCGGCCUGAGAGGGUGACCGGCCACACUGGGACUGAGACACGGCCCAGACU